rnacentral:rRNA from 1 species
UGGGGAAUAUUGGACAAUGGGCGAAAGCCUGAUCCAGCCAUGCCGCGUGUGUGAAGAAGGUCUUCGGAUUGUAAAGCACUUUAAGUUGGGAGGAAGGGCAGUAAGCGAAUACCUUGCUGUUUUGACGUUACCGACAGAAUAAGCACCGGCUAACUCUGUGCCAGCAGCCGCGGUAAUACAGAGGGUGCAAGCGUUAAUCGGAAUUACUGGGCGUAAAGCGCGCGUAGGUGGUUCGUUAAGUUGAAUGUGAAAGCCCCGGGCUCAACCUGGGAACUGCAUCCAAAACUGGCGGGCUAGAGUAGGGCAGAGGGUGGUGGAAUUUCCUGUGUAGCGGUGAAAUACGUAGAUAUAGGAAGGAACACCAGUGGCGAAGGCGACCACCUGGGCUCAUACUGACACUGAGGUGCGAAAGCGUGGGGAGCAAACAGG